rnacentral:rRNA from 1 species
GCAAGUCGAACGAUGAACACUUCGGUGGGGAUUAGUGGCGAACGGGUGAGUAACACGUGGGCAAUCUGCCCUGCACUCUGGGACAAGCCCUGGAAACGGGGUCUAAUACCGGAUAUGAGCCUGGGAGGCAUCUCCCGGGUUGUAAAGCUCCGGCGGUGCAGGAUGAGCCCGCGGCCUAUCAGCUUGUUGGUGAGGUAACGGCUCACCAAGGCGACGACGGGUAGCCGGCCUGAGAGGGCGACCGGCCACACUGGGACUGAGACACGGCCCAGACUCCUACGGGAGGCAGCAGUGGGGAAUAUUGCACAAUGGGCGCAAGCCUGAUGCAGCGACGCCGCGUGAGGGAUGACGGCCUUCGGGUUGUAAACCUCUUUCAGCAGGGAAGAAGCGAGAGUGACGGUACCUGCAGAAGAAGCGCCGGCUAACUACGUGCCAGCAGCCGCGGUAAUACGUAGGGCGCAAGCGUUGUCCGGAAUUAUUGGGCGUAAAGAGCUCGUAGGCGGCUUGUCACGUCGGUUGUGAAAGCCCGGGGCUUAACCCCGGGUCUGCAGUCGAUACGGGCAGGCUAGAGUUCGGUAGGGGAGAUCGGAAUUCCUGGUGUAGCGGUGAAAUGCGCAGAUAUCAGGAGGAACACCGGUGGCGAAGGCGGAUCUCUGGGCCGAUACUGACGCUGAGGAGCGAAGCU